GCCGCUGUGGCUCAGUGGUUGGAACGUCAGCCCACGCACUGAAAGGUCAUGGGUUCGAUUCCCAGUCAAGGGCA
rfam:Myotis davidii contig181557, whole genome shotgun sequence.